GCUUACGGCCAUACCAGCCCAAGAACUCCCGAUCUCGUCUGAUCUCGGAAGCUAAGAAGGCUUGGGCCUGGUUAGUACUUGGAUGGGAGACCUCCUGGGAAUACCAGGUGCUGUAAGCU
rnacentral:rRNA from 1 species